GUCCUAUUGUAUUAUUUAAUAGGUCUGGCCUGCCCAGUGAUAAUUUCAACGGCCGCGGUAUAUUGACCGUGCAAAGGUAGCAUAAUCAUUAGUCUUUUAAUAGGAGGCUGGAAUGAAAGGUUUAACGAGAAAUUGACUGUCUCAAUUGCAAUCUUGAAUUUAUCUUUUGAGUCAAAAGACUUAAAUUUAGUUGGUGGACGAGAAGACCCUAUAGAGCUUGACAAUUAUUUUUUUUUCUAUUUACUUAGUUAAAUUAUUUAUUUAUAUUAAAAAUAUUGUUUUGUUGGGGUGACAAUAAAUAUAUAUUUAACUUUUAUUAUAAUAUUAACAUUAAUAUAUGAUUUUUGGAUCCAAAAUUUUUGAUCAUUAGAUUAAGUUACC
rnacentral:rRNA from 1 species